GGGUGAGAGCGUGCCUUUUGUAGAAUGAACCGGCGAGUUACGAUAUGAUGCGAGGUUAAGUUGAAGAGACGGAGCCGUAGGGAAACCGAGUCUGAAUAGGGCGCAUUAGUAUCAUGUCGUAGACCCGAAACCAUGUGACCUACCCAUGAGCAGGUUGAAGGUGCGGUAAAACGCACUGGAGGACCGAACCAGGGCACGUUGAAAAGUGCUUGGAUGACUUGUGGGUAGCGGAGAAAUUCCAAACGAACUUGGAGAUAGCUGGUUCUCUCCGAAAUAGCUUUAGGGCUAGCGUCGACAUAAAGAUUCUUGGAGGUAGAGCACUGUUUGGGUGAGGGGUCCAUCCCGGAUUACCAAUCUCAGAUAAACUCCGAAUGCCAAUGAAUUAUGGUCGGCAGUCAGACUGCGAGUGCUAAGAUCCGUAGUCGAAAGGGAAACAGCCCAGACCACCAGCUAAGGUCCCAAAAUAUCUGUUAAGUGGAAAAGGAUGUGGGGUUGCACAGACAACUAGGAUGUUAGCUUAGAAGCAGCUAUUCAUUCAAAGAGUGCGUAAUAGCUCACUAGUCGAGUGACCCUGCGCCGAAAAUGUACCGGGGCUAAAACAAUUUACCGAAGCUGUGGAUACCUUUAUAGGUAUGGUAGGAGAGCGUUCUAUGUGUGAAGAAGGUGUACCGUGAGGAGUGCUGGAACGCAUAGAAGUGAGAAUGCCGGUAUGAGUAGCGAAAGACAGGUGAGAAUCCUGUCCACCGUAAGACUAAGGUUUCCAGGGGAAGGCUCGUCCGCCCUGGGUUAGUCGGGACCUAAGGAGAGACCGAAAGGUGUAUCCGAUGGACAACAGGUUGAUAUUCCUGUACUAGAGUAUGUAGUGAUGGAGGGACGCAGUAGGCUAACUAAAGCAGACGAUUGGAAGUGUCUGUCUAAGCAGUGAGGUGUGAACUGAGUCAAAUGCUUAGUUCUAUAACAUUGAGCUGUGAUGGGGAGCGAAGUUUAGUAGCGAAGUUAGUGACGUCACACUGCCAAGAAAAGCUUCUAGCGUUUAAACAUACUCUACCCGUACCGCAAACCGACACAGGUAGUCGAGGCGAGUAGCCUCAGGUGAGCGAGAGAACUCUCGUUAAGGAACUCGGCAAAAUGACCCCGUAACUUCGGGAGAAGGGGUGCUGACUUUA
rnacentral:rRNA from 1 species